CGCACUAUAGUUUAUGCAAAACAUUGACCUGCAAAAUCAAGGAAGGAGAUAAUCCUAGUGUGU
rnacentral:tRNA from 1 species